UGCGUAGGCGGGUUUCUAAGUCAGAGGUGAAAGCCUGGAGCUCAACUCCAGAACUGCCUUUGAUACUGGAAGUCUUGAGUAUGGCAGAGGUGAGUGGAACUGCGAGUGUAGAGGUGAAAUUCGUAGAUAUUCGCAAGAACACCAGUGGCGAAGGCGACCACCUGGACUGAUACUGACACUGAGGUGCGAAAGCGUGGGGAGCAAACA
rnacentral:rRNA from 1 species